rnacentral:rRNA from 1 species
AAAUGAAUUGACGGGGGCCCGCACAAGCAGUGGAUUAUGUGGUUUAAUUCGACGCAACGCGAAGAACCUUACCAGGGCUUGACAUCCAACUAACGAAGCAGAGAUGCAUUAGGUGCCCUUCGGGGAAAGUUGAGACAGGUGGUGCAUGGUUGUCGUCAGCUCGUGUCGUGAGAUGUUGGGUUAAGUCCCGCAACGAGCGCAACCCUUAUUGUUAGUUGCUACGAAAGAGCACUCUAGCGAGACUGCCGUUGACAAAACGGAGGAAGGUGGGGACGACGUCAAAUCAUCAUGCCCCUUAUGUCCUGGGCUACACACGUAAUACAAUGGCGUUUAACAGAGGGAAGCGAAGGAGCGAUCCGGAGCAAAUCCCCAAAAAGCGUCUCAGUUCGGAUUGCAGGCUGCAACUCGCCUGCAUGAAGUCGGAAUUGCUAGUAAUCGCGGAUCAGCAUGCCGCGGUGAAUACGUUCCCGGGCCUUGUACACACCGCCCGU